rnacentral:tRNA from 1 species
UACAGUUUAGUAUAAGAUGUACUUAAAUUUUUGAUAUUUAAAGGAUUGGUUUAAUUCCAUUAAUUGUAA